CGUUUUUAGACCCCCUAUUAAAAAUACUCCCUGCCCAGUGACUAAACGUUCAACGGCCGCGGUAUCCUGACCGUGCAAAGGUAGCAUAAUCAUUUGCCUUUUAAUUGGAGGCUAGUAUGAAUGGGUAGACGCAGAUUUAGCUGUCUCUUUACCGCUUAUAAAACUUAAACUCUAGGUGAAGAUGCCUAGAUCUUGUAGAAAGACAAGAAGACCCUAUAGAGUUUUAGUUAAACUUCACUUCCUCUCUUAUAUUUAACUUUGGUUGGGGCGACCUAGGAUUACAAUUAACAUCCUUCAUAUUCUAGAUUAUAUAAAUCUUCAAAAUUGACCCUCAUAUAGACAAUUAGAAGUAACUACCUUAGGGAUAACAGGCUUAUCUUCCUAGAGAGCUCUUAUUGAUAGGAUGGUUUGGCACCUCGAUGUUGGCUUAGAGUAACUUAAUACCGCAGCAGGUAUUAAAAGUCAGUUUGUUCAACUGUUAAAUCUCU
rnacentral:rRNA from 1 species